rnacentral:lncRNA from 1 species
GAAUCCAAUUCAAUUGGACUUGAUCCAAAAAUAAUUACUCAAUCAAAUUGAGUUAAUUAGUGAUCAAAUCACUAAUUAAACCUCUCAUAAAUAUUGAGUCCAAAUCCGAUGGGCAAUCGGGUAUCAGAAUUCAUCGAUAUGUAACCCUAAUCGAAAAGUCCCAACCAAUGGGACUCUUGACCCUAGUACCCAUAAUGUGUGAAACUCAUGAUCAGAGAAUCCUGAUUCUCGAUCACUGAGUCUCAAACAUGUAAGAUUCUACAUCAGCCAUCAGAUCAGAUAGGAACCUCUAAUGUGUGUGACCCCGCAGGUUCGAACCUAAGCCAGUAGCACAGGAACCAAUUCCUGUACUAAUCGAAGUGACCAUCUAGCAAUGGUACCCGAUGUUCGGAUAGGUCGAAGAGUCACAAUCGCAACACUCAGAACCUACAUGAAUAUGGUUACUGU